rnacentral:lncRNA from 1 species
AAGAAGUCGCAAACCAAAUCAAAAGCACAAAAUUCUUCCUCCCUUUUGCAUAACCUGAAGCUGUACUAAAUUGAAAGAAAUGCUCUGUUAAAUUUGUCGGCAUAGCUGUGUAAACUCCUAACCAACUCUGAAUCAUUUGCCAAAUAAUUCCAAAGGUACCACAAUUUAAAAACAAAUGAACAUCAGUCUCCUGCACUCCACACCCACCAACACACAUUUGUUGAUCAACAGGAAUAAUCCCCCAACGGAAUAAAUUAGCCUUAGCAGGCAACCUAUUCCAAAAGAGCCGCCACAUGAAAAUCAAGACCUUAAGCGGGAUGUCCUUCCUCCACAGAAUGUCAUCCAGGAUCCAAGCAACAUAUUUUCUCUGAUUAUAAAAAAAAUAGACUAAUUUUAAAAAUAUUAAUUAUUGCCAUUUUUUAUGCCUCCAC